AAGAAGGGGUGGGGAGGAGAGAGAGAGAACAAUUUGGUCAUUUAGUCAUUGGUUAGCAGCGUUAUCUUCCUGUGAACAUUUUUUAAUUAUUGAGGGGAUAAAAUAUAAAUUUUUCGAAGUCGGGGAAGAAAAGUGAAAAAACAAGUAUUGAUAAAGAAAUUUUCUGUACUUUAGCUUUUAUUUUAUUAACUUUUCAUGUGUUAGAAUAAGAUUAUAUUUUUUCAAUUAAUUGCAUACAAUUCCCUAUAAAUAUAGCGAAUUGCAAAUAUAUUCCUAUAAAAUUCAACUUUCUUAUGUAAUCUCUACAAAAAGUCCCACUAUUUUCAAAUAUGCCCCUACCAUAAGAAUUCAUUAGAAAAAUUUAGUUACCUAUAUGUAAAAUACUUAACUUGAUUAGUCAAUAAGGUAUAUUGAUAUUUUUACAUCUCUUAUAUUAUACCUUCUUCUCUUAAUCAGAACCCUAACAAUGGGAACUCGUUUUUUUCGUCCUCUUCCUCUCUUUCCUUCAUGCUAGUUUCGAACCCGUAACUAGAAUUUCUCUGUCCUCAUUCAUCCACAACGCGUGUUGCUUCGCCCAUAUUGAACAUAUUUUGCUUCCCUUUCAAUUUUCUCUAUGAUUUUUUCUUAUUAAUCAAAAGAAAAGUUUUAGGAGAAAAAGAGUGAGAGAAGAGGUUGCAACAGUGAUGGAUUUGUUGGGUUUUAAAGAGAAAUAAGAUUGACCAUUGAAAUUUUUUGGGGGGGAUAUUUUUGCAUAAUUAUAGCAGUUGGAGCUUUUGGAUGGACAUAUUUGCAAUGAUAAAAUUGACAUUUCACUUAUCUACUGUUAAAAAAUAAAUAUUUCUCUAACAGUAGCAAAUUAACCCAAAGGACAAAUUUAAAUGUCACUGGAAUUUUGCAGGAAGAGAAUAAGAAAGUUGAAUUUUGUAGAGAUAUAUUUGCUAUUUGCUAUGUUUACAGAGCUGUAAGCAAUUAACCUAUAUAUUUUUUUGGUGUUUUAAAAUUUUACAAAAUUAUAUUCA
rnacentral:lncRNA from 1 species